rnacentral:rRNA from 1 species
UACGUAGGGGGCAAGCGGUUGUCCGGAAUCAUUGGGCGUAAAGCGCGUGUAGGCGGCCCGAUAAGUCCGCUGUGAAAGUCCAGGGCUCAACCCUGGAAUGCCGGUGGAUACUGUCGGGCUCGAGUCCGGAAGAGGCGAGUGGAAUCCGUGGUGUAGCGGUGAAAUGCGCAGAGUAUCAGGAGGAACACCAAUGGCGAAGGCAGCUCGCUGGGAGUGACUGACGCUGAGACGCGAAAGCGUGGGGAGCAAACAGG